UAAUUAACUCAAUUAAUGGAGGCAUGACAAACACAUAAUUUCUUUUUGCAUCGUUUCAAGGUAAUCAACAGAACACAAUUAUAUAAUAAAUGUAGACCCUCAGUAUUCAAAUACAUUUGAAGACCAAGGCAAUAGCUCUAAACAAAACAACUGGUGAUUUCAUCCGAAACAGAUCAAUAGUGCCUUGAAUUAACAGAGAAGAAUUUUAAAACAAACUUGAUGACUAAACUACAACGCUGAUUUUGAAUAUGACAUGAACACAUAACUUUAAACAAGUUUAUAAUGUCACAAAUCAACCGAAAACAAAAUUUUGGAUCACUUUUAUACCAAAGUCUAGAUUCACAAAAUCACCAACAACCAGAAUCGUAUUAUAAACUCAUGGAGAAGAAAAGUGAAUAUCCACAACCACUGAGCAGAAAACAACUUAGAAUCAGCUGAAGCAAACUGUCAAAUAACGCCUACAUGAAAUAGAAGAAGUCUGGCAAGCGCGAGUGCCUAAACUCAACAGUGAAACAGCAACAAUGGAGCUCAGUAACACCAAACAACAGCAAAAUUAGUGACGAGCUCGAUCAAACUACUUGAAAUCAAAGUUCAGUCAACAACAGUCAAUAAAUCCGGCAAUCUCGAUUCGGCGAUAGAAAUCUCCGAUGGACAACGAAUUCAGAAUCGAACUUCAAUCUCAACUAAAAAAACAACUCCAUUGCUUUUAAAACAGAAAUCGAUCCAAUUAUGAAGAAACAGAACGUGCUUUUUUUUAUAUUUUUUAGGUGGUUUAGGAGCUGGUUUGGGGUGCUUUUGGUGUCAGUUUUUGGCUGAAAUUUGGGGCUUUUGGGGGCUAAUUUCGAGCUGGGUUUGAGAGAAUGUUUUGGCAGCAAUUUUUUGGGGUAGAGAUGAAAGUGUGAAGGAUGAGCGAGAUCAGGAACCAGAUGAAAAAUAGGAGGGGAGAUGGUGCUGGGUCUCUUUCUUUUCGAUACAGCCUCUGAUUGAUCCUUUUAAAGUGAGAGAUGAGGAAGAAGGUGAGGGGAAAAUCGUUGGAAGGGGAAAAAAUCCGGAAAGGGUUACGCAUAUUUCGUGUCCCUAAGUUGAAGUUGAGAGGCACC
rnacentral:lncRNA from 1 species